rnacentral:rRNA from 1 species
UACGGGGGGGGCAAGCGUUGUUCGGAAUUACUGGGCGUAAAGGGUUCGUAGGUGGCUUGCUAAGUCAGACGUGAAAUCCCUCAGCUUAACUGGGGAACUGCGUCUGAGACUGGCAAGCUUGAGUGCAGGAGAGGAACGCGGAAUUCCAGGUGUAGCGGUGAAAUGCGUAGAUAUCUGGAGGAACACCGGUGGCGAAGGCGGCAUCCUGGACCGGCAUUGACGCUGAGGCGCGAAAGCUAGGGGAGCAAACGGG